AGAAUGAACGUUGGCGGCGUGGAUUAGGCAUGCAAGUCGCGCGGGAGUAGCAAUACUCUAGCGGCGUAAGGGACAGUAACACGUAGAUCACCUACCCUCGGAUUCGGGAUAGCUGCGGGAAACUGCAGGUAAUACCGAAUAACGUCUCCGGACCAAAGGUGUGAUUCCGUCCGAGGAUGGGUCUGCGUCCUAUUAGCUAGUUGGUGGGGUAAUGGCCUACCAAGGCAAUGAUGGGGUAGUGGGUGUGAGAGCACGACCCGCGUCACUGGGACUGAGACACUGCCCAGACACCUACGGGUGGCUGCAGUCGAGGAUCUUCGGCAAUGGGCGCAAGCCUGACCGAGCGACGCCGCGUGCGGGAUGAAGGCCUUCGGGUUGUAAACCGCUGUCAGUGGGGAGAAAUGUACGGAGGUACUCCUCCGUAUUUGAUCUAUCCGCAGAGGAAGUGUGGCUAAGUUCGCGCCAGCAGCCGCGGU
rnacentral:rRNA from 1 species